GUGAACGCUGGCGGUGCGCCUAACACAUGCAAGUCGAGUGGGUUUAGACCCACGGCGAACGGCUGCGUAACACGUUGGUACUCCCCCCGAACUCAGGGAUAACCCCGCGAAAGCGGGAGUAAUACCGGAUGCCCCCGUAAGGGGAAAGAUUUAUCGGUUCGGGAGAGGCCUGCGGCCUAUCAGAUAGUUGGUGAGGUAACGGCUCACCAAGUCGAUGACGGGUAGCUGAUCUGAGAGGAUGAUCAGCCAGAAUGGAACUGAGACACGGUCCAUACUCCUACGGGAGGCAGCAGUGAGGAAUCUUCCGCAAUGGGCGAAAGCCUGACGGAGCGACACCGCGUGGAGGAUGAAGUCGUUUUUCGAUGUAAACUCCUGUUCUGAGGGACGAAAUUUUUGACGGUACCUCAGGAGAAAGCACCGGCUAAUUCUGU
rnacentral:rRNA from 1 species